GAUGAACGCUGGCGGCGUGCCUAAUACAUGCAAGUCGAGCGAACGGACGAGAAGCUUGCUUCUCUGAUGUUAGCGGCGGACGGGUGAGUAACACGUGGAUAACCUACCUAUAAGACUGGGAUAACUUCGGGAAACCGUAGCUAAUACCGGAUAAUAUUUUGAACCGCAUGGUUCAAAAGUGAAAGACGGUCUUGCUGUCACUUAUAGAUGGAUCCGCGCUGCAUUAGCUAGUUGGUAAGGUAACGGCUUACCAAGGCAACGAUGCAUAGCCGACCUGAGAGGGUGAUCGGCCACACUGGAACUGAGACACGGUCCAGACUCCUACGGGAGGCAACAGUAGGGAAUCUUACGCAAUGGGGGAAAGCCUGACAGAGCAACGCCGCGUGAGUGAUGAAGGUCUUCGGAUCGGAAAACUCUGUUAUUAGGGAAGAACAUAUGUGUAAGUAACUGUGCACAUCUUGACGGUACCUAAUCAGAAAGCCACGGCUAACUACGUG
rnacentral:rRNA from 1 species